CGGUACGGAUAAACACUAAGUUACCGUCAAGGACGGUCAAGUCAACAACUGUAUUUUAAUAAUGUGGUACGAGCUUUUGCCCUUCAUGGGCUUAAUGGCAGCAUGUACCGUGGCAGUACAAUAUAUCCAUAUUCCAUUUAAUUAUGCUAAGACUGGACAUCUCAGAAAUAAUAAAUGGCCAAGACACAUGCAGGAUGCUGCUAUAAUGGGAAGAGAUAUUUCUUUGACAGGGAGCCCACACAAACCUUUGGGCCUUGAAACCAUCCCAGAUGAGGAGUAAAUAAAGCAAAAUGAUGAACAAUAACUAAACAUUUAAAAUGCAAAUUGUAAAACUACUUGUUGGAAACUAUGUAAAAAAAAUACGGAUGAGAAGUAAAAACAAACAGUCUGAAGAGCCAGAUUUGCAUGAAUAGCCGACAUUUCGUGUAUUAUAUAGAUCUUUAUUCUAUGUUUUUUAAUUAUAUUAGAUAAUGAGUGAAUAAAUCUU
rnacentral:lncRNA from 1 species